rnacentral:lncRNA from 1 species
AUGGAAAUAAUUUUGACCUUAAAGCAAGAAGAAGAGAAUAGAAGAAAUGCUGAUAUGUUAUAUGAAAAAAUUAGGGAGCAAUUAAGAAGAAAGGAAGACCAAUAUGGUAAAGAAGUUGAAAUGAACAGCAACUAGAACUCACCCUCAGAGCUCUAGAUGGAACUGAAGACUGAGAAAUGAUCUGAAUCAGGUAGAGUAAUUGUUGGUGAAAAUUUCUAGCACCAUUUUGUCAAUAUUAUUUAUAAUAUCCCUUUUAUUUCAUAUGUAUUAUUUAGAUUUCAAACAAAAUGUUAUCUCAACCUGGGUAUGAACUGUGACAUUCAGAGUUUAUGUGAUGAGUUUCUUGCCAUUCUUGGCUUCUAGUAGAUGCUGUGUAUGUGUUUUCUGCGUGGAGGAUUGGAUGUAACUUGAGCUUAAUUAUUAACAUAAUGAUUGGCACUUUUGAUACAUUAGACAAAGUAAUCUUCUUAAUUCCAAU